AUGCGCAAACAUCAACCUGCUCCUACCUUAAUCCUCACAAAAACUACUUCCCUCCCAUUGUUGUUCUUUUGGUUACUUACUUCUUCUCUUUCUGUUUUUUGUGUUUAUGGGUUUGGUGCUGCCUUAAAGAUUUUGGUUACUUGGGUACAUUCAGUUUCGCUUGCUGUAGUUGCAAAGUUCUGGUUUUUGGAUUCUGAAACCAGAAAGUGGGUGCUUUUAUGUUUGAAAUUGGGAACUUUUAUUUGGGUUUGUGGCAUUUUCUAUUGGAAAAAAGAUGAAGUUUGGAUAACUUUGUGGUAA